UGGGGAAUAUUGCACAAUGGGCGCAAGCCUGAUGCAGCCAUGUCGCGUGUAUGAAGAAGGCCUUCGGGUUGUAAAGUACUUUCAGCGAGGAGGAAGGCGGUAAGGUUAAUAACCUUAUCGAUUGACGUUACUCGCAGAAGAAGCACCGGCUAACUCCGUGCCAGCAGCCGCGGUAAUACGGAGGGUGCAAGCGUUAAUCGGAAUUACUGGGCGUAAAGCGCACGCAGGCGGUCUGUCAAGUCGGAUGUGAAAUCCCCGGGCUCAACCUGGGAACUGCAUUCGAAACUGGCAGGCUAGAGUCUUGUAGAGGGGGGUAGAAUUCCAGGUGUAGCGGUGAAAUGCGUAGAGAUCUGGAGGAAUACCGGUGGCGAAGGCGGCCCCCUGGACAAAGACUGACGCUCAGGUGCGAAAGCGUGGGGAGCAAACA
rnacentral:rRNA from 1 species